UGUCUUCUGUCUAUCAGAGGUCUCUGGAGGCCAAAACCUGACUGAAAAGGUCCCUGAGUCAACAUGGCAGAGACUGUGAUUAAUAUGGAUGCUAUUCAGGCUUCAGAGAGGCCUCCUCUUUCAACAGGCUUCAGAGAGAAGCUGAAGAGCCUUCAUCCAGUUGCUGAUAGAAGCAGAAGCAGAAGCAGAAGCAGAAGCAGAAGCAGAAGCAGAAGCAGACAUCCACAGCUAAACACUGAGCUGACUUCCUGGAAUCUAGUUGUAGAGCAGGAGGAAUGGGGAGCAAAGGGGUUAAGACCAGACUGGAGAAACCCAGAGAAACAGAUGAACUGAACAAGGGGGAGCUCAUGCACCCCAGACUGAUAGCUGGGAAACCAGCAUAGGACUGACCCAGACCUCUGAAACAUUGGUGUCAGUUAGGAGACCUGGGAAAUCUAUGGGACCUCUGGCAGAGCAUUAGCGUUUAUCCCUAGUAUACAAAUGAACCUUGGGAGCCCACUCCACAGCCUAGACACAUGGGAGAGGGCCUAGGACCUGCUCCAAAUGAUAUGACAGACUUUGAAGAUCCCCCCAUAG
rnacentral:lncRNA from 1 species